UUACUUUUCCAUUACUAUAAUCAAUAUAAUUCUUUUUCUACUUUCUUAUCACGGAAUUAAUAUUAAUUUUAGGUAAUAUUGCAAUCACAUACAUCGGUUAUCAGUCCAUGAACUACUCCGAUGCAGGCUUCAGCAUUCUUUUCGCAGACAAGUUCUCGAAGCGAGUCAAGAUCGAACAACUUCCCCAUACUCUGUGAAUCGAGCCUCAUUAUCGAAGAAAGAGCUACGCACUCCAGGGUGGAUCGAAGACAAGGGAUGCUGGGGAUCUCAGUCGUCUCCAACACACUGGUUAUCACCUUUGGAUUUAACAGGGCAGCGAUCACAUCAUCCAAAACUAAAAUAAUAAAUAUUCAUUUUAAAAAGACUAUAAUAUAUCUUAACAAGCAAGUCUUAAAAUUCUCAAUAAAAUUCACAGGGCCGGGUAAUUCUUUCUUCAUGUUAUGAUAGAAAUAACGUACAACAUCUCGCCUCCCAGAUUCAAGUAAAGCAAUGGCGUCGCGUGGGACAUGUUUCACGAAUUUAUAAAAAAUAUCUUCUGCAAAAGGAGGCCGGGGUUGCGGCCACGAAAAGUCGAUGUGGACUACAGCUACAGGCCGGCAAAAGGAACAAUGUUAAACCGGGCCUGCGCGUUAUUGUCGGUCGUUUUAUACCUGUAGACAUGAACCCUCGUUAUUACUGAAUGUACAGGACGUGCAGUGAUCGAUAGCGGAGUACUGACUACAUUCUGUUGUGCCCUUAUCGUUCCUAAUUAAGUAUAGGUACUUAUGUAUCGUAGUUCUGGGUCCUUACGCGUACCGUAAAAAUUAACAG